GCUGGCGUGGCUCAGGGGUUGAGCAUCGACCUAUGAACCAGAGGUCACGGUUCAAUUCCUGGUCAGGA